rnacentral:rRNA from 1 species
UACGAAGGGGGCUAGCGUUGCUCGGAAUGACUGGGCGUAAAGAGCUCGUAGGCGGUUUGUCGCGUCUGCUGUGAAAACUCGAGGCUCAACCUCGGGCUUGCAGUGGGUACGGGCAGACUAGAGUGCGGUAGGGGUGACUGGAAUUCCUGGUGUAGCGGUGGAAUGCGCAGAUAUCAGGAGGAACACCGAUGGCGAAGGCAGGUCACUGGGCCGCAACUGACGCUGAGGAGCGAAAGCAUGGGGAGCGAACAGG